rnacentral:rRNA from 1 species
UACGGAGGGUGCAAGCGUUAAUCGGAAUUACUGGGCGUAAAGCGCAUGUAGGUGGCUGAGUCAGUCGAUUGUGAAAGCCCUGGGCUUAACCUGGGAAUUGCAGUCGAUACUACUCAGCUAGAGUAUGGGAGAGGGCAGUGGAAUUCCCGGUGUAGCGGUGAAAUGCGUAGAUAUCGGGAGGAACAUCAGUGGCGAAGGCGGCUGCCUGGCCAGAAACUGACACUCAGGUGCGACAGCGUGGGGAGCAAACAGG